rnacentral:siRNA from 1 species
ACUGGUUGCCUGGAAAUAGAGAAA